rnacentral:rRNA from 1 species
GAGCGUACACAGGUGCUGCAUGGCUGUCGUCAGCUCGUGUCGUGAGAUGUUGGGUUAAGUCCCGCAACGAGCGCAACCCUACGCUGAGUUACCAGCACGUAAAGGUGGGGACUCUCAGUGGACUGCCGGCGACAAGCCGGAGGAGGGUGGGGACGACGUCAAGUCAUCAUGGCCCUCAUGUCCAGGGCGACACACGUGCUACAAUGGCCGGCACAACGGGAAGCGACGGCGCGAGUCGUAGCGGAUCCCUCAAAGCCGGUCCCAGUUCGGAUUGCAGUCUGCAACUCGACUGCAUGAAGCCGGAAUCGCUAGUAAUCGUGGAUCAGCCAAGCCGCGGUGAAUACGUUCCCGGGCCUU